AGGUCGUGGGGCUCAGUGCCCGGGAAGUCGUACAGAGCCACCACCACCACCUCAUCCUCCUCAUCAUCUUCAUCCUUGUCAUCAUUCUCAGAAUCCGGAGGGACGGGAGGAGGCGGAGGGCGAGACUGCAGAACAAGGAAUGGUAAAAUUCUUAUGGGUGUUGCUGUCACAAUAUUGAUAGAUAUCAUUACUCAUGAAUCUGUGUGUGUGUAGUUAGCGGUUACCCUCACUUCUUUAGGUUCCUCUCCAGGAAUCGGGGGCAAAGGUUUCCUUGAAACUAGAAAAGAGGAACGGAAACAGUUACAGCAGGUGGCUACAUACUGGACUGCAGUACAAUUUCAUGAUGAUUCUUUAUAGUCACUCAAACACAGCAUGGGAUUCCUGGAGAACGUCCCACAAUGUUUGUCCAGCAGCUGCUACUUCAAUUACAGCUCUUUAAAGGUUGUAGCUGUUGCUCCUAUAGCCACCACAAAAGCCAGAAUUGUGCAUUGUUCUUCUUUUCACAACUCUACCAAUCCAUGCACAGACACAAUGGGUUCUCAUGCCUUACCUUAAAACAAGAAAACCAAAACUAUGUGCUUAAAGGUGCUAAAAAAGGUCUUAUUGCUACAUGGCUGAUAUUGUGUUAAAUGAGAUUCAGAUUGAGGUAGAAUUUGGCAGUAUUUUUACAGGUUUAUUCAGCUGUGAUAUCUCAGGAAUUUAAAGUGAUUUGCAUUAUUUUUUUUAAUGUGUGUUUUAGGCAGGGUUUGUAUUUGCUUUUUUUU